GCCGGAGAUUAAGCGUGUUGUGAAAUGCCGCGGCUCAACCGUGGCACUGCAGCGCGAACUGGUUUUCUUGAGUGCGCGCGACGCAGGCGGAAUUCGUGGUGUAGCGGUGAAAUGCUUAGAUAUCACGAGGAACCCCGAUUGCGAAGGCAGCUUGCGGGAGCGCAACUGACGCUGAAGCUCGAAGGUGCGGGUAUCGAACAGGAUUAGAUACCCUGGUAGUCCGCACGGUAAACGAUGGAUGCCCGCUGUUCCGUUAUAUGAUGGAGUGGCCAAGCGAAAGCGUUAAGCAUCCCACCUGGGGAGUACGCCGGCAACGGUGAAACUCAAAGGAAUUGACGGGGGCCCGCACAAGCGGAGGAACAUGUGGUUUAAUUCGAUGAUACGCGAGGAACCUUACCCGGGCUUGAACUGCAGGAGAACGAUUCAGAGAUGAUGAGGCCCUUCGGGGCUCCUGUGGAGGUGCUGCAUGGUUGUCGUCAGCUCGUGCCGUGAGGUGUCGGCUUAAGUGCCAUAACGAGCGCAACCCCUCUCCGUAGUUGCCAUCAGGUUAAGCUGGGCACUCUGCGGACACUGCCACCGCAAGGUGUGAGGAAGGUGGGGAUGACGUCAAAUCAGCACGGCCCUUACGUCCGGGGCUACACACGUGUUACAAUGGGUGGUACAGAGAGCGGGCCGUCCGCAAGGUCGGUCAAAUCCUAAAAGCCAUCCCCAGUUCGGAUUGGGGUCUGCAACCCGACCCCAUGAAGCUGGAU
rnacentral:rRNA from 1 species